UUAGCAGAGAUGCUUUGGUGCCUUCGGGAACUCUGAGACAGGUGCUGCAUGGCUGUCGUCAGCUCGUGUUGUGAAAUGUUGGGUUAAGUCCCGCAACGAGCGCAACCCUUAUCCUUUGUUGCCAGCGAUUCGGUCGGGAACUCAAAGGAGACUGCCAGUGAUAAACUGGAGGAAGGUGGGGAUGACGUCAAGUCAUCAUGGCCCUUACGAGUAGGGCUACACACGUGCUACAAUGGCAUAUACAAAGAGAAGCGACC
rnacentral:rRNA from 1 species